rnacentral:rRNA from 1 species
UGGGGAAUAUUGGACAAUGGGCGAAAGCCUGAUCCAGCCAUGCCGCGUGUGUGAAGAAGGUCUUCGGAUUGUAAAGCACUUUAAGUUGGGAGGAAGGGCAGUAAGCGAAUACCUUGCUGUUUUGACGUUACCGACAGAAUAAGCACCGGCUAACUCUGUGCCAGCAGCCGCGGUAAUACAGAGGGUGCAAGCGUUAAUCGGAAUUACUGGGCGUAAAGCGCGCGUAGGUGGUUCGUUAAGUUGAAUGUGAAAGCCCCGGGCUCAACCUGGGAACUGCAUCCAAAACUGGCGAGCUAGAGUAGGGCAGAGGGUGGUGGAAUUUCCUGUGUAGCGGUGAAAUGCGUAGAUAUAGGAAGGAACACCAGUGGCGAAGGCGACCACCUGGGCUCAUAAUGACACUGAGGUGCGAAAGCGUGGGGAGCAAACAGG